rnacentral:rRNA from 1 species
CUUACCUACUCUUGACAUCCUCGGAAUCCACUGGAGACAGUGGAGUGCCUUCGGGAACCGAGAGACAGGUGCUGCAUGGCUGUCGUCAGCUCGUGUCGUGAGAUGUUGGGUUAAGUCCCGUAACGAGCGCAACCCUCGUCCUUAGUUGCCAGCACGUAAUGGUGGGAACUCUAAGGAGACCGCCGGUGAUAAACCGGAGGAAGGUGGGGAUGAUGUCAAGUCAUCAUGGCCCUUACGAGUAGGGCUACACGCGUGCUACAAUGGGCAGUACAAAGGGUUGCGAAGCCGCGAGGUGGAGCUAAUCCCAAAAAGCUGUUCGUAGUCCGGAUUGGAGUCUGCAACUCGACUCCAUGAAGUUGGAAUCGCUAGUAAUCGCGAAUCAGAACGUCGCGGUGAAUACGUUCCCGGGCCUUGUACAC